rnacentral:sRNA from 1 species
GCCAGGUGCAGUGGGGCAUGUCUGUAAUCCCAGCUACUUGGGAGGCUGAGGCAGGAGGGUUACAAAUUGAGGGCUAGCCUCAGCAACUUAGUGAGGUCCUGCCUCAA